rnacentral:lncRNA from 1 species
UGUCUCUAGAUUACUUUUAAUACGAAUACAAUGUCUGUGCUAUGUAAAGAGUUACUGCACUAUAUUGUUUAGGGAGUGAUGACAAGGAAAUAGUCCAUCCAUCUGAAACCAUCUGCAAAGAAAGCUAAAUACCAGUAUGGUGGACUGAAUUCUGGAUGCCCUGUCACUCCACCUCCAACAGCUAAUCCACUGAAGAAAAGGUGAAGAAGGAAUUCUAUAAAGAAACCACCAGAUUUGUUAAGGACAUACUUUAUAACAUAUAGAAGUGUGCACUGUAAAACCAUCCAGCCAUUUGACACCCUUUAUGAUGUCACACCUUUAACUUAAGGAGACGGGUAUAGGAUCUUAAAUUUUUUUCUAAUAGAAAGAUGUGCUACACUGGAUUGUAAUAAGUAUAUUCUGUUGUAUUCAACAAAGUUAAAUCCAAAUUCAAAAUUAUCCAUUCAGGUUACAUCUUCACGUAUCACAAUUUUUAAAGUUGAAAAGCAUCCCAGUUAAACUAGAUGUGAUAAUUAAACCAGAUGAAAGCAUGAUGAUCCAUCUGUGUAAUGUGGUUAAUUCGCACGAAACACCUUUUGGCAUGCUUAACUUUCUGGUAACACCCUCACCUGCAUUGGUUUUGUUUUUUGGGAUUUUUGUUGUUGCUGUUGUUGUUGGUUUUGUUUUUAGAUCCACAAAACAUGAGAAUCCUUUUUUGACAAGCCUUGGAAAGCUGACACUAUCUCUUUUUUUCUCCCUUUAUACGAAGGAUGUAUUUAAUUGAAUGCUGGUCAGUGGGACAUUUUGUCAACUAUGGCUAUUGGGUGCUUAACUGUCUAAUAUUGCCAUGUGAAUGUCGUAUACGAUUGUAAGGCUUAUGUCACUAAAGAUUUUUAUUCUGAUUUUUCAUAAUCAAAGUUCAUAUGAUAUUGUAUAGAUAUGCUUUGUAGUGAACUAUAGUAGCAAUAACUUCUGUAUGUGAUUGAGAGUUUAUUGCAGCAUUUCUUUUCCUGUUCUCUUUUUUUAAGGGUUAGCAUUAACAUGGCAAGGAAUAGAAAAGUCACCAUAAAGAUUUUAGAAGGAGAACUUACAGAGCACAGAUUUGUGAUUGUUUGGAUGUGACACUAUUGGAUGUGACUCUAAAACUUCUAUUGAGCAUUGUCAAAUUUGUAAGCUUCAUAGGGAUGGACAUCACAUCUAUAAUGCCCUUCUGUAUGUGCUACCAUAGAUGUGAAAUUCUUGACCUUAAUAUUGUUUUUGAAAAUGUUAAAUUGAGAAUUCUGUUAACUUACAGUUUAUGAAUUGGUGCAUUGUAUUACUGCAAGAAAUAUUUGAUUUUCAGCACAGUGCAAAGUUUCCUUAAACUGCAUGUCUUUUUUUUCCUAAUUCUAUUUUGUUUUAAAGCACAUUUUAAAUGUAGUUUUCUCAUUUAGUAAAAGUUGUCUAAUUGAAAAACUAAUAAAAAUAAAUAAAUAAAACA